UCCACCGUCCCUCCCACUUCCUUAACUUCAGCUCCAUGGACGAGGCAGAGCUCCCCGGCACUGACCAGGAGGAUCUCUACACAUGAGUCUCGUCUCGAGACACCCAAGUCUUGACUUGCAGGGCAGAUCUCAACAAAUGAUAACAAUUAAAGUGUUUCUUCUUGACUGAAAUAGUGGCCGUGUGUGUGAAUCAGUCGGUGAAAUCGGAACUUUAAACUGACAAAUGAAUAAACUCUUAUGUUGGUUAUCGUAGGACAAUGUAAAGAUUUGGGGUGUUUUAUUCAAACAGUAACUGCGUCACUUGUGCUUUACAAGAAUGUUCAUAUAUAUAUAUCUCUGUACAUGUAUUGAAUUUGACUGAUCAUUGAAAAAAGAUUACUUAUCAUUACAAUGUAAAUAUCAUAUUUCUUGUCAUGUGCAACAUUUCAGAAAAUGUUCCUUCUUAAAAGAGGUUUACACCAAAUAAAUUUUAUCUUAAAUUAC
rnacentral:misc_RNA from 1 species